rnacentral:rRNA from 1 species
AUUGAACGCUGGCGGCAGGCCUAACACAUGCAAGUCGAGCGGAGCGGUGGACGGGUGAGUAAUGCCUAGGAAUCUGCCUGGUAGUGGGGGAUAACGUCCGGAAACGGGCGAUAAUACCGCAUAUUACCAGCUGAGCCUAGGUGGGACUAGCUAGUUGGUGGGGUAAAGGCUUACCAGGGCGACGAGCCGUAACUGGUCUGGGAGGAUGAUCAGUCACACUGGAACUGAGACACGGUCCAGACUCCUACGUGAGGCGGCAGUGGGGAAUAUUGGACAAUGGGCGAAAGCCUGAUCCAGCCAUGCCGCGUGUGUGAAGAAGGUCUUCGGUUUGUAAAGCACUUUAAGUUGGAAGGCGUUACCGACAGAAUAAGCACCGGCUAACUACGUGCCAGCAGCCGCGGUAAUUC